AGUGUAGGCGGCUUCGUAAGUCGGAUGUGAAAGCCCUGGGCUUAACCUGGGAAUGGCAUUCGAUACUGCGCGGCUAGAGUCUGAUAGAGGGAAGUGGAAUUCCAGGUGUAGCGGUGAAAUGCGUAGAGAUCUGGAGGAACACCAGUGGCGAAGGCGGCUUCCUGGAUCAAGACUGACGCUGAGGCUCGAAAGCGUGGGGAGCAAACAGGAUUAGAUACCCUGGUAGUC
rnacentral:rRNA from 1 species